UACUAACUCUGGCGGCGUGCCUAAUACAUGCAAGUUGAGCGCUGAAGGUUGGUACUUGUACCGACUGGAUGAGCAGCGAACGGGUGAGUAACGCGUGGGGAAUCUGCCUUUGAGCGGGGGACAACAUUUGGAAACGAAUGCUAAUACCGCAUAAAAACUUUAAACACAAGUUUUAAGUUUGAAAGAUGCAAUUGCAUCACUCAAAGAUGAUCCCGCGUUGUAUUAGCUAGUUGGUGAGGUAAAGGCUCACCAAGGCGAUGAUACAUAGCCGACCUGAGAGGGUGAUCGGCCACAUUGGGACUGAGACACGGCCCAAACUCCUACGGGAGGCAGCAGUAGGGAAUCUUCGGCAAUGGACGAAAGUCUGACCGAGCAACGCCGCGUGAGUGAAGAAGGUUUUCGGAUCGUAAAACUCUGUUGGUAGAGAAGAACGUUGGUGAGAGUGGAAAGCUCAUCAAGUGACGGUAACUACCCAGAAAGGGACGGCUAACUACGUG
rnacentral:rRNA from 1 species